rnacentral:rRNA from 1 species
AAGCUUGCUUCUCUGAUGUUAGCGGCGGACGGGUGAGUAACACGUGGAUAACCUACCUAUAAGACUGGGAUAACUUCGGGAAACCGGAGCUAAUACCGGAUAAUAUUUUGAACCGCAUGGUUCAAAAGUGAAAGACGGUCUUGCUGUCACUUAUAGAUGGAUCCGCGCUGCAUUAGCUAGUUGGUAAGGUAACGGCUUACCAAGGCAACAAUGCAUAGCCGACCUGAGAGGGUGACCGGCCACACUGGAACUGAGACACGGUCCAGACUCCUACGGGAGGCAGCAGUAGGGAAUCUUCCGCAAUGGGCGAAAGCCUGGCGGAGCAACGCCGCGUGAGUGAUGAAGGUCUUCGGAUCGUAAAACUCUGUUAUUAGGGAAGAACAUAUGUGUAAGUAACUGUGCACAUCUUGACGGUACCUAAUCAGAAAGCCACGGCUAACUACGUGCCAGCAGCCGCGGUAAUACGUAGGUGGCAAGCGUUAUCCGGAAUUAUUGGGCGUAAAGCGCGCGUAGGCGGUUUUUUAAGUCUGAUGUGAAAGCCCACGGCUCAACCGUGGAGGGUCAUUGGAAACUGGAAAACUUGAGUGCAGAAGAGGAAAGUGGAAUUCCAUGUGUAGCGGUGAAAUGCGCAGAGAUAUGGAGGAACACCAGUGGCGAAGGCGACUUUCUGGUCUGU